GAAACUGCGAAUGGCUCAUUAAAUCAGUUAUCGUUUAUUUGAUAGUACCUUACUACUUGGAUAACCGUGGUAAUUCUAGAGCUAAUACAUGCUGAAAACCCCGACUUCGGAAGGGGUGUAUUUAUUAGAUAAAAAACCAAUGCCCUUCGGGGCUCCUUGGUGAUUCAUAAUAACUUCUCAGAUCGCAUGGCCUUGCGCCGGCGACGGUUCAUUCAAAUUUCUGCCCUAUCAACUUUCGAUGGUAAGGUAUUGGCUUACCAUGGUUUCAACGGGUAACGGAGAAUUAGGGUUCGAUUCCGGAGAGGGAGCCUGAGAAACGGCUACCACAUCCAAGGAAGGCAGCAGGCGCGCAAAUUACCCAAUCCCGACACGGGGAGGUAGUGACAAUAAAUACUGAUACAGGGCUCUUUUGGGUCUUGUAAUUGGAAUGAGUACAAUUUAAACCUCUUAACGAGGAACAAUUGGAGGGCAAGUCUGGUGCCAGCAGCCGCGGUAAUUCCAGCUCCAAUAGCGUAUAUUAAAGUUGUUGCAGUUAAAAAGCUCGUAGUUGAACCUUUGGCCUGGCUGGCAGGUCCGCCUCACCGCGUGCACUUGUCCGGCCGGGCCUUCUCUUCUGGAGAACCGCAUGCCCUUCACUGGGUGUGUUGGGGACCAGGACUUUUACUUUGAAAAAAUUAGAGUGUUCAAAGCAGGCCUUUGCUCGAAUACGUUAGCAUGGAAUAAUAGAAUAGGACGUGCGGUCCUAUUUUGUUGGUUUCUAGGACCGCCGUAAUGAUUAAUAGGGACAGUCGGGGGCAUCAGUAUUCAAUUGUCAGAGGUGAAAUUCUUGGAUUUAUUGAAGACUAACUACUGCGAAAGCAUUUGCCAAGGAUGUUUUCAUUAAUCAGUGAACGAAAGUUAGGGGAUCGAAGACGAUCAGAUACCGUCGUAGUCUUAACCAUAAACUAUGCCGACUAGGGAUCGGGCGG
rnacentral:rRNA from 1 species